rnacentral:rRNA from 1 species
AUUGAACGCUGGCGGCAGGCCUAACACAUGCAAGUCGAACGGUAACAGGAAGAAGCUUGCUUCUUUGCUGACGAGUGGCGGACGGGUGAGUAAUGUCUGGGAAACUGCCUGAUGGAGGGGGAUAACUACUGGAAACGGUAGCUAAUACCGCAUAACGUCGCAAGACCAAAGAGGGGGACCUUCGGGCCUCUUGCCAUCGGAUGUGCCCAGAUGGGAUUAGCUAGUAGGUGGGGUAACGGCUCACCUAGGCGACGAUCCCUAGCUGGUCUGAGAGGAUGACCAGCCACACUGGAACUGAGACACGGUCCAGACUCCUACGGGAGGCAGCAGUGGGAAAUAUUGCACAAUGGGCGCAAGCCUGAUGCAGCCAUGCCGCGUGUAUGAAGAAGGCCUUCGGGUUGUAAAGUACUUUCAGCGGGGAGGAAGGGAGUAAAGUUAAUACCUUUGCUCAUUGACGUUACCCGCAGAAGAAGCACCGGCUAACUCCGUG